rnacentral:rRNA from 1 species
UUCACCUGCCGAAUCAACUAGCCCUGAAAAUGGAUGGCGCUGGAGCGUCGGGUCCAUACCCGGCCGUCGCUUGGCGACAAGAGCCGUGAGGGCUACGCCGCGACGAGUAGGAAGGCCGCCGCGGUGAGCAUGGAAGCCUGGGGCGUGAGCCCGGGUGGAGCCGCCGUGGGUGCAGAUCUUGGUGGUAGUA